CUGUAAGGAAGAAAUGAGCACCUCUGCCUUAAUUGACAAGAUGUUUGAAGACGUCUUACAGGCUGCUGACAAAGAAGAGGAAGCAGAGAAAAGGAAGGAGGAGACAAGAGGGAAUGAAAGCAGCCUGUCUCAGACCAUAAAGGGAGAGGAAACGGACAUGGUCACAGCAGAAACACAGCCGAAGGAGGAAUCUCUAGCUUCUAGCUGUGAAGGGGGUGAAGUGAACACAGAAGCAGCUCUACACAGUGGUUCUGUGAUAUUAGAGCAUGUGAAGUCCAGUGAAGUAGAGGAAAUAGAUGAAGUGUCUGCCUGUGCUGACCACAGGGAGAGGGGAAGGGAGAUUACAGAAGAGGGCAGCUCCAUGUGUAGUAAGGAAGACUUCCUGAUCCUCCCACCUAGCUGUGUUCUCUCCCCUCUCGGCAAAUCUAUGGAGGCUGUUAUACUGUUGGGUGCAGUAUGUGUCUCCAGAGGAGAUGACACCCCCCCCCCGCUUCACUUCUGUACAUGUAAGGUCAUGGUUUCAGUAUUGAUGCAUACCGUUCUCAGAGUAAGAACAGUCACCUGGCCUCUCAGCCAAGCUGCAGACCAUCAUCAAUCAGACUCUACAGGCGCUGAGCUGUUGCAGUGACGCAGGGAACCUUUGCCGUUCUCUUGAAGAGGCUGAAGCUGAGAAGCUCCUGCUCAUUUCCAGUGGUGAUAAGCACACCGCCCUGCUGGCAGAGAUCAGCAGACUGCAGGAGGGAGCUGAAGCAGAUGCAGACCCCCACGCUGGUGUAUUGCAGCUGUGCAGAGGCACCAUCAGCGUCAGCAGUGUCCAGCUGCCCAUCAAAGUGGAGUUUGUGUGCUCUGCCCGCACAGAAAUCCAACCCCUCUUCUUCCUGUGCCCUUCCUGUCUCCCCUGGAGGGUCACAUCUACCUGCGGCUGCACAGUGAGAGCCAUUCUAAUGUCUAGCACCAAGGCUUUCUGGUGUGUGUAAGAUGGUAUUUAUUAUAAUAUCGGAUUCACAUGGAAAGGUCUUGUACCAUAAAUUCCUGGCUUUGCUUGGAAUAUUGAAUGAGUGUUUAUUGCUUCUAACAGUAAUAACAUUUAGACAAUGUUUGAAGAUGUAAGUGGUUUUGGAGCAUGGCAGCGUCUGUUCUUCAGGCUAGAAGGUGCUCUCAUCUUGUAUUGAAAUAACCCCAAUGAAAUGGGCAGCAAGCCAGCAACGGGCAGGAUCUAUAUGCGUUGCUUUGAUAGCAUGAGGCCUGUGCAGAGGGAGAACACACCCUCAUACCUUUUGAACUGGUGAACACUUGGACCCUGAAACAAGACAACAGCCACAACCUGAACAAGACAUUCUGUUAUGAACUUGCAUCACUAUGUUUUAGGCACCAGUUCCUUCUCACUGUAAUCAAGGUUUGAGUGUGGUCCUUACUAGUGUAUUGUUUUUUGAAGGAGCUGGUUCUCGGGAGGAUACAUGGGGAAAAGUGGGCAGAUUGGAUGGAGAAGCUGAGCCAGGUGCUGCUAGACUUCCACACAUGGAGUCAGCAGCCUGCGUCCAGCAAGAGUGAUCAAGCUAAUAGUUUCUCCAACACUAGAGCUUCCUCCGAGAGUGUCUUGUUAUGCAUCACUCUUAUAUAUGCUGGGACCAAACAUCUAACAUUUUAUCUUGUAAUAAAGAAUAAAAUAAAGUUUCAUGUUUUGCAUA